ACUCAGAAUACUCUCUCUCUCUCUCUCUCUCUCUCUCUCUCACACACACACACACACACACACACACACACAGCGAGAGAGAGAGAGAGAGAGAGAGAGAGAUGAACCAUAGA